GUGAGGGAUAUUGGUCAAUGGACGGAAGUCUGAACCAGCCAUGCCGCGUGCAGGAAUAAGGUCCUAUGGAUUGUAAACUGCUUUUAUUCGGGAAUAAACCUCUUUACGUGUAGGGAGCUGAAGGUACCGAAGGAAUAAGCACCGGCUAACUCCGUGCCAGCAGCCGCGGUAAUACGGAGGGUGCAAGCGUUAUCCGGAAUCAUUGGGUUUAAAGGGUCCGCAGGCGGGCUAUCAAGUCAGAGGUGAAAUCCCACAGCUUAACUGUGGAACUGCCUUUGAAACUGAUGGUCUUGAAUUAAGUGGGCGGUGGCGGAAUAUGACAUGUAGCGGUGAAAUGCUUAGAUAUGGCACAGAACACCAAUUGCGAAGGCAGCUCACUAAGGCGAUACUGACGCUGAGGCACGAAAGCGUGGGGAUCGAACAGGAUUAGAUACCCGUGUAGUCC
rnacentral:rRNA from 1 species